rnacentral:rRNA from 1 species
UACAGAGGUCUCAAGCGUUGUUCGGAUUUACUGGGCGUAAAGGGCGCGUAGGCGGUCAGCACAAGUCAGUUGUGAAAAUCUCCGGGCUUAACUCGGAAAGGUCAACUGAUACUGUGCGACUAGAGUGCAGAAGGGGGCAACUGGAAUUCUCGGUGUAGCGGUGAAAUGCGUAGAUAUCGAGAGGAACACCUGGCGGCGAAGGCGGGUUGCUGGGCUGACACUGACGCUGAUGCGCGAAAGCCAGGGGAGCGAACGGG